GUGUGUGUGUGUGUGUGUGUGUGUGUGUGUGUGUGUGUGUGUGUGUGUGUGUGUGUGUGUGUGUGUGUGUGUGUGUGUGUGUGUGUGUGUGUGUGUGUGUGUGUGUGUGUGUGUGUGUGUGUGUGUGUGUGUGUGUAAACUGUCUAUGCAAUUCUAUAGUACAGAGAAUGAGAUCAUCUAUCUGGAAGAGCUGCAUUAAGACAUGAAUCCCUUUCUCUCUCCCCCCUUUCUCUCUCCCCCCUUUCUCUCUCCCCCCUUUCUCUCGCCCAGCUUUAAACACAUAAAAACAACAGAGAGAUAUAUUGCAUCGCAAAGGAGAAGAGAAGGAGAGAAUAAAAAAAGAAAAGAUGGCGAUCGGAAAGAGUCCCAGAAACGGUUCCGUCAGGUCUCCAAAGUACCUGGACAAGAGUUCUGGGUUCUACGGUCGCCUGGAUGAGCCCGAGAUGGGAGGAGAGGAGGAGGUGCGGGGGAGAGAGGGGGACUGGGGGGGAUCGUGCCCAGCCACAGAGCUCUCUACGGGGGGAGAGACGGACCGGGGAGAGCCUGGGGUGUUUGACUUCAACGAGGGAAUGAUGGAAGAUGACGACACCACUCUCCUCCGAAGGAAACCCAGCCGGCUCAGCUCCCGCUGGAGAAGAAGCUCCAGGAAGGCCAAACCCCAGGCGAUCUCCCCCAGGGAGGAGGGCCCGAUCCUGGGUACGGAGAUGGAGACGCAGACCCCUGUCCUGGAGGUGGAGGUGAGGGUAGAGACUGAAGAAGGACAGAGGGAGAAAGAGAGAACAGAAGAGGAGAGGACGCUGGUCCACUUUGCGAGCAGAGAUGAAGCGGAUGACCAGGUUCUGGUAAAGGACAAUAAGAGAGGGAGGGAAGAAGAGAAGGAGGAGGAGAUGAAGGUGAUGAGGAAGAGGAGCACGCUGAAGAACUACCGCAAGACUUUCGACCGAGCGUUCCGACGAGGGUGGGAGACCUUCGUCACUAACCUGUACAGCGUGACGCUCACACCUGACUCAUCAUCAUCAUCAUCACCCCCAUCAAGGGAGAUGCACCAUUCCUCAGCAUUAGCAGAAUACAGAUAGGAUUCACAAACCUGUUCAUCUAAUCUGUAAACUGCAAUUGUUCCAAUCAGGUUAUGUAACGCCCAUAUUGUAAUUUGAGAUUGAGGCUGGCUUGGAGAGCGUUCCGUUUGUGUUCUCAACGCAAAUGACCUGUGUUCACCUCAAUGUAUGGUUCAGUUGAUUAAUCAAUCAGUGAAAUCAGUGAUAUUGAUCUAGUACAUGCACGGGUUUAUCAAUGAUCAAUAUGAACAGCACCCGAUUAACACCAGGAAGUACACAAAGUUUAACUCAUUCUUAUUCUGAAUUCCAAAAUAGCACACUAUUGUACUAGUGCACUAAAUAGGGAAUGGGUUUAAUACUUCCUCACAGGGUGAAGUUCAUACCUCUCUGGAGGACCGUCUGCAGGGUGGUUUCAGUGUUGUGCAACCUGAGGGAGACAUAUGUUUCACUAUCCAUGUGCCUAAUGAACGUAGCCCAAGAUGAGACCUGAUAACGUAUGUUUCACUAUCCAUGUGCCUAAUGAAUGUAGCCCAAGAUGAGACCUGAUAACGUGUUUCACUAUCCAUGUGCCUAAUGAACGUAGCCCAAGAUGAGACCUGAUAACGUGUUUCACUAUCCAUGUACUUAAUGAACGUAGCCCAAGAUGAGACCUGAUAACGUAUGUUUCACUAUCCAUGUACUUAAUGAACGUACCCCAAGAUGAGACCUGAUAACGUGUUUCACUAUCCAUGUACUUAAUGAACGUAGCCCAAGAUGAGACCUGAUAACGUAUUUCACUAUCCAUGUGCCUAAUGAACGUAGCCCAAGAUGAGACCUGAUAACGUAUUUCACUAUCCAUGUGCCUAAUGAACGUAGCCCAAGAUGAGACCUGAUAACGUGUUUCACUAUCCAUGUACUUAAUGAACGUAGCCCAAGAUGAGACCUGAUAACGUAUUUCACUAUCCAUGUGCCUAAUGAAUGUACCCCAAGUGUGUUAUGUUUGUUUCAUAAAAGGAGAACGUUUUCAUACCAUGAAAUUAACUAACUAUGGGGGACAUGAGGGUAGGAAAAAAACGGUCUCAAACUUUGGUCCUCUGACUUUGUCUAAAAGGAGGUUGCACACAACACACAUUUAAUACACUAUUUAUUCAUGUCCAUUUAUUUACUAUAUGAUCAGUUUUCACACUUUUCUGUGUAAUCUCUCUCAAUAAUAUCUUACCAAAGAGUUUAUUUAUUUUUAAUUAUUGGCUUAAAUCACAACAUAACAUCUCUCUCUUGCAGCAUUGAAGUCAAGCUCAGAAUUAUAUGAGAGCUAUACUGAGCUGCUGAAGAAUUUAUUUUCUUCUGUGUUGCACUUGAAUGACUAAAUUGUUAUAUUUAGUUUAGUUUAAAAAUCUAUGCUUUGUAUUACUUGUGCCAUCUUUGUAGCCUUUGUCCUUAAAUAAAAUAUAAUUUCUCAAAUAUAUUUUGUUCUUCAUCCUU
rnacentral:lncRNA from 1 species